CUACGUGCCAGCAGCCGCGGUAAUACGUAGGGGGCUAGCGUUAUCCGGAUUUACUGGGCGUAAAGGGUGCGUAGGUGGUCCUUCAAGUCGGUGGUUAAAGGCUACGGCUCAACCGUAGUAAGCCGCCGAAACUGGAGGACUUGAGUGCAGGAGAGGAAAGUGGAAUUCCCAGUGUAGCGGUGAAAUGCGUAGAUAUUGGGAGGAACACCAGUAGCGAAGGCGGCUUUCUGGACUGCAACUGACACUGAGGCACGAAAGCGUGGGUAGCAAACAGGAUUAGAUACCCUGGUAGUCCACGCUGUAAACGAUGAGUACUAGGUGUCGGGGGUUACCCCCCUCGGUGCCGCAGCUAACGCAUUAAGUACUCCGCCUGGGGAGUACGCACGCAAGUGUGAAACUCAAAGGAAUUGACGGGGGCCCGCACAAGCGGUGGAGCAUGUGGUUUAAUUCGAAGCAACGCGAAGAACCUUACCAGGUCUUGACAUCCCUCUGACCGCUCUAGAGAUAGAGUUUUC
rnacentral:rRNA from 1 species